GUUGCGCGCGCAGAGGAUGGGCGCUGAGCAGCACACAGCCCGCGGCGGGGUCUCAGGAUCCGCGGCGCUGCCCGGGGCCGGGGGAAGGAAGCCAGCCGAGGAGACGCACGUGCCCUGAGUCCGGGAGCGGGGAGCCUCUUCAUCUCUCCAUCCUCCCUCCGCGCGCGCCCUCAGCCGUCCUCGUCCGCUCACCAUGCACCUCCCCUCCAAGAAAGGGCCACAUGCGUGCCAGGGACGCGAGCCCCGGCCACAGGGACAUAGCAGCCUAGAAGUUCUUUCCGGUCAUAAUUUAACCUUCUCAGGCACAUAAUUCCACACUGGAAACUGUUUCUAUUUGGAAGAAAAGAGAGAUGAUUUAGAGAUGGUAACAGUGAAAAAUCUUAGCCAAUUAUUAAGAACUAUCUCCAUUAAGUUACCUGUGAAAACUGUCGACCAUUUUCAGCUGCCCUCGAAGGUCUUUCUUGGUCAAGUGGUCCAGCAUCCUGGCGUCUACAAGGCACUCCAUGAAGUAGCUGCGGUACUGGGGGAGGCCCAGGCUGGGGAGCCACUCGUUGCCGAUCC
rnacentral:lncRNA from 10 species